CAGCAGUAAAUAUAGACUAUUAGCCGGUCUCUUCCUUUGCCCUGCUACCACUCUGAGCGCAGCUGAAGCCCUCUGCUUCAGCCGCCCAGGUAAAUCUUUGAAAAGCCCCUUACUCCCUUCUUCCUUUUUCUUCAUUUUUGUUUUUGCCUUUUCAAUUUUGAUGUCCAAUUCAUCUUUUCCAUAUUUAAUCUCAUCCAUGAAGAAAAUGCUUUUUUUUUUUCGUCUGUUUUUCAGAAUUUAUUUAUCAAAAUCAUGAGUGCAAAGGUACAUGGAUCGAAAUUCUAAUGAUUCUUUAGUUUUUUGUGCUUGGGGUUUGCAGUAUCAAUCAAUUGAACCCAUUUCUCUAGUUUUCUCAAUCUUUCAUGAUCCUCAAUGGCACUGGUGUAUUUCCCCUUUCGCAGUAAAGCCUAUGGGCAUUGCUGGCGUGCUUUUUCUUCUUUAUGUUCGCCGUCCCCAUUUGUGGGAACUGGUAUUGGUAAUGGAGAAGAGUGUAUUCGGUCUCAAAUCGAUAUUAUUGUAUCUAGAAUUCGUGAGGGAAGUAGUGAUGAUGAGGUUUUUAAGUCUCUUGUGCAUGAUGAAGCUUGUAAUGCUAUACCCAUGUCUCAAAACCUUGUUGAUGUGUUGCUUCAUCGAUUUAAAGAUGAUUGGAAGUCUGCAUUGGGGUUGUUUAGAUGGGCGGAGUCGCGUUUGGGGUAUGAACAUGCACCUGAAGCAUAUGAUAUGAUGGUUGAUAUAUUGGGGAAAUUGAAGCAAGUGGAUAAGAUGAGAGCACUGAUGGAGGAAAUGCGUCAGGGCAAUCUUGUUAGGCUUAGUACUGUAGCUAAGGCUAUGAGAAGGCUGGCGGGUGCUGGGGAAUGGGAGGAUGCGGUGAGGGUGUUUGAUGAUUUGGGGAACUUUGAAUUGGAGAAGAACACAGAAUCCAUGAACUUAUUGCUUGAUACCCUUUGUAAAGAGAGGAAAGUUGAGCAGGCCCGUGCAAUCUUCUUGGAACUCAAACCACACAUUUCCCCCAACACCCACACAUUUAACAUUUUUAUUCAUGGUUGGUGUAAAGCCAAUCGGGUAGAUGAAGCUGAGUGGACAAUCCAAGAGAUGAAAGGACAUGGUUGCCGCCCUUGUGUAAUUAGCUACUCAACAAUUAUUCAAUCCUAUUGCCGCCAAAGCAAUUUCAGAAAGGUGUAUGAGCUUCUAGAUGAUAUGCAAGCUCAAGGGUGUGCGCCAAAUGUUGUCACUUACACCACUAUCAUGUGUUCGCUGACAAAGGUGGAGCAGUUUGAAGAAGCCUUACAGAUAGCUGAGAGAAUGAGAUCAGUUGGAUGUAAACCUGAUACACUUUUCUACAAUGCGUUGAUCCAUACACUUGGGAGAGCUGGUCAAUUAAGAGAGGCUGUUCGUGUUUUUGAGGUGGAGAUGCCCAAGACUGGUGUUCCUCCAAAUACGUCUACCUACAAUUCAAUGAUUGCUAUGUUCUGUCACCACUCUCAAGAACAAAAGGCCUUGAACCUCCUCAGAGAAAUUGAAAAUUCAACUUUUUGUAAGCCUGAUAUUCAGACUUAUUACCCAGUGCUUAAGUCAUGCUUCAAAACUGGAAAGAUUGAUAGUUUGAGCAAUUUUCUGGAUGACAUGGUUAAUAAGCAUCAUCUCAGUCUAGAUGUCUCGGCCUACACUCUUCUAAUUCAUGGGCUUUGUAGAGCAAAUAAAUGUGAGUGGGGUUAUAACCUCUUUGAGGAGAUGGUAGGUAAAGCAAUAACACCUAGAUAUAAGACAUGUGCUUUGCUUUUGGAUGAAAUCAAACAGAAGAAUAUGCAUGAUGCCGCUGAGAGGAUUGAAGUUUUCAUGAAGCAAAUGAAAACCUCCGAGUAACAAACAUUUCAAGGUUAGAAAUUGCAAACUGUAUAGGAGGAGGAGCAGGGUGAUAUCCAUGACAUAAUACACAAGGAGGAAGAGCAGAGGAAUAUCCAUGACAUUGGAAUUGCUCAGAACAGGUGUAAAUAAAUGGAAUUCCAAUGCACACUAAGGAGGAACUUGGGAUGGUGGCUGGAGAACGUAUACAACAAAUGACAGUAAAGUAAAAUGGUUUUGAGGGGGGAGGGGUCUGCAGCAGUGAAAGGCGCAAAUACUGCAAAGAUGUCAAGUUCACUGAAUUUGUUGAUGCGCCACUUCAAUGAGGGAACAAAUCUUUGGGCCUGACUAUCCAUAGUGGCAUUGGUGGGUGCUUGAUGAGGAACCUGCAAUUAAUGGACUGAGAAGGAAGAACAUUGAGACCCUUCCUUUUGAAUAUCUUAAAUUCAUUUCACGAUGGCCAACUGCAUAAAGACUAAGAACAAUGACUCAAUUGCUGCAGAAGAUAUAAUAGUGUAAGGACUAUUUUUCUACUUAUUGAUUCUUAUAUUUCCCAAUUUAAUCUUUAACGUAUCUUUUCAUCAGCUGAAGGAUGCACACAUAAUUAUUUUCCUUUAUGAUUGUUAGUAGGCAAUUAUGUUGCAGAAAAACCUUGAAAAACACAAUUUCCAUUCUCUUGCUUGGCUGAUGAUGAAAUUUCAUGGGGACAUUUUCCGAGA